AAAAAGCGGAGCCGUAGCGAAAGCGAGUCUGAAUAGGGCGCAUAAGUAACAGGUCGUAGACCCGAAACCAGGUGAUCUACCCAUGUCCAGGAUGAAGGUAAGGUAAUACUUACUGGAGGUCCGAACCCACGCACGUUGAAAAGUGCGGGGAUGAGGUGUGGGUAGCGGAGAAAUUCCAAUCGAACUUGGAGAUAGCUGGUUCUCUCCGAAAUAGCUUUAGGGCUAGCCUCGAGGUAAAGAGUCAUGGAGGUAGAGCACUGUUUGGACUAGGGGCCCUUCUCGGGUUACCGAAUUCAGAUAAACUCCGAAUGCCAUGUACUUAUACUCGGGAGUCAGACUGCGAGUGAUAAGAUCCGUAGUCGAAAGGGAAACAGCCCAGACCACCAGUUAAGGUCCCCAAAUAUAUGUUAAGUGGAAAAGGAUGUGGGGUUGCUUAGACAACCAGGAUGUUGGCUUAGAAGCAGCCACCAUUGAAAGAGUGCGUAAUAGCUCACUGGUCGAGUGACCCCGCGCCGAAAAUGUACCGGGGCUAAACAUAUUACCGAAACUGUGGAUGAACCUCUUUAGAGGUUCGUGGUAGGAGAGCGUUCUAAGGGCGGUGAAGUCAGACCGGAAGGACUGGUGGAGCGCUUAGAAGUGAGAAUGCCGGUAUGAGUAGCGAAAGAAGGGUGAGAAUCCCUUCCACCGAAUAUCUAAGGUUUCCUGAGGAAGGCUCGUCCGCUCAGGGUUAGUCGGGACCUAAGCCGAGGCCGAUAGGCGUAGGCGAUGGACAACAGGUAGAGAUUCCUGUACCAGUGCUAAUUGUUUAACCGAUGGGGUGACACAGAAGGAUAGGGAAUCGCACGAAUGGAAAUGUGCGUCCAAGCAGUGAGUGUGAGAAGUAGGCAAAUCCGCUUCUCGCGAAGCAUGAGCUGUGAUGGGGAAGGAAAUUAAGUACGGAAGUUCCUGAUUUCACGCUGUCAAGAAAAGCCUCUAGGAAGAGUAGUACUGCCCGUACCGCAAACCGACACAGGUAGAUGAGGAGAGAAUCCUAAGGUGAGCGAGAGAACUCUCGUUAAGGAACUCGGCAAAAUGACCCCGUAACUUCGGGAGAAGGGGUGCUCUAUUAGGGUGCAAGCCCGAGAGAGCCGCAGUGAAUAGGCCCAGGCGACUGUUUAGCAAAAACACAGGUCUCUGCAAAACCGUAAGGUGACGUAUAGGGGCUGACGCCUGCCCGGUGCUGGAAGGUUAAGAGGAGUGCUUAGCUUCGGCGAAGGUACGAAUUGAAGCCCCAGUAAACGGCGGCCGUAACUAUAACGGUCCUAAGGUAGCGAAAUUCCUUGUCGGGUAAGUUCCGACCCGCACGAAAGGCGCAACGAUCUGGGCACUGUCUCAACGAGAGACUCGGUGAAAUUAUAGUACCUGUGAAGAUGCAGGUUACCCGCGACAGGACGGAAAGACCCCGUGGAGCUUUACUGCAACCUGAUAUGGAAUGUUUGUACCGCUUGUACAGGAUAGGUAGGAGCCGAAGAGACGUGUGCGCUAGCAUACGAGGAGGCAAUGGUGGGAUACUACCCUGGCUGUAUGACCAUUCUAACCCGCCACGCUUAGCGCGUGGGGAGACAGUGUCAGGUGGGCAGUUUGACUGGGGCGGUCGCCUCCUAAAGAGUAACGGAGGCGCCCAAAGGUUCCCUCAGAAUGGAUGGAAAUCAUUCGCAGAGUGUAAAGGCACAAGGGAGCUUGACUGCGAGACUGACAAGUCGAGCAGGGACGAAAGUCGGGCUUAGUGAUCCGGUGGUUCCGCAUGGAAGGGCCAUCGCUCAACGGAUAAAAGCUACCCCGGGGAUAACAGGCUUAUCUCCCCCAAGAGUCCACAUCGACGGGGAGGUUUGGCACCUCGAUGUCGGCUCGUCGCAUCCUGGGGCUGUAGUCGGUCCCAAGGGUUGGGCUGUUCGCCCAUUAAAGCGGCACGCGAGCUGGGUUCAGAACGUCGUGAGACAGUUCGGUCCCUAUCCGUCGCGGGCGCAGGAAAUUUGAGAGGAGCUGUCCUUAGUACGAGAGGACCGGGAUGGACACACCGCUGGUGUACCAGUUGUUCCGCCAGGAGCAUCGCUGGGUAGCUAUGUGUGGCAGGGAUAAACGCUGAAAGCAUCUAAGCGUGAAGCCCCCCUCAAGAUGAGAUUUCCCAUUUCUUCGGAAAGUAAGAUCCCUGAAAGAUGAUCAGGUAGAUAGGUUUGGAGUGGAAGUGUAGCGAUACAUGGAGCGGACAAAUACUAAUCGAUCGAGGACUUAACCAAAA
rnacentral:rRNA from 1 species